rnacentral:rRNA from 1 species
UACGGAGGGUGCAAGCGUUAAUCGGAAUUACUGGGCGUAAAGCGCACGUAGGCGGUCUUUUAAGUCGGUGGUGAAAUCCUGGAGCUCAACUCCAGAACUGCCUUCGAUACUGGAAGACUUGAGUCCGGGAGAGGUGAGUGGAACUGCGAGUGUAGAGGUGAAAUUCGUAGAUAUUCGCAAGAACACCAGUGGCGAAGGCGGCUCACUGGCCCGGUACUGACGCUGAGGUGCGAAAGCGUGGGGAGCAAACAGG